AUGCAAGUCGAGCGGUAGAGAGAAGCUUGCUUCUCUUGAGAGCGGCGGACGGGUGAGUAAUGCCUAGGAAUCUGCCUGGUAGUGGGGGAUAACGUUCGGAAACGGACGCUAAUACCGCAUACGUCCUACGGGAGAAAGCAGGGGACCUUCGGGCCUUGCGCUAUCAGAUGAGCCUAGGUCGGAUUAGCUAGUUGGUGAGGUAAUGGCUCACCAAGGCGACGAUCCGUAACUGGUCUGAGAGGAUGAUCAGUCACACUGGAACUGAGACACGGUCCAGACUCCUACGGGAGGCAGCAGUGGGGAAUAUUGGACAAUGGGCGAAAGCCUGAUCCAGCCAUGCCGCGUGUGUGAAGAAGGUCUUCGGAUUGUAAAGCACUUUAAGUUGGGAGGAAGGGUUGUAGAUUAAUACUCUGCAAUUUUGACGUUACCGACAGAAUAAGCACCGGCUAACUCUGUGCCAGCAGCCGCGGUAAUACAGAGGGUGCAAGCGUUAAUCGGAAUUACUGGGCGUAAAGCGCGCGUAGGUGGUUUGUUAAGUUGGAUGUGAAAUCCCCGGGCUCAACCUGGGAACUGCAUUCAAAACUGACUGACUAGAGUAUGGUAGAGGGUGGUGGAAUUUCCUGUGUAGCGGUGAAAUGCGUAGAUAUAGGAAGGAACACCAGUGGCGAAGGCGACCACCUGGACUAAUACUGACACUGAGGUGCGAAAGCGUGGGGAGCAAACAGGAUUAGAUACCCUGGUAGUCCACGCCGUAAACGAUGUCAACUAUCCGUUGGAAGCCUUGAGCUUUUAGUGGCGCANCUAANGCAUUAAGUUGACCGCCUGGGGAGUACGGCCGCAANGUUAAAACUCANNAUGAAUUGACNGGGGCCCGCACAAGCNGNUGGAGCAUGU
rnacentral:rRNA from 1 species